rnacentral:rRNA from 1 species
UACGAAGGGGGCUAGCGUUGCUCGGAAUCACUGGGCGUAAAGCGCACGUAGGCGGCUUCUUAAGUCAGGGGUGAAAUCCUGGAGCUCAACUCCAGAACUGCCCUUGAUACUGAGGAACUCGAGUCCGGAAGAGGUGAGUGGAACUCCGAGUGUAGAGGUGAAAUUCGUAGAUAUUCGGAAGAACACCAGUGGCGAAGGCGGCUCACUGGUCCGGUACUGACGCUGAGGUGCGAAAGCGUGGGGAGCAAACAGG